rnacentral:rRNA from 1 species
UACGAAGGGGGCUAGCGUUGCUCGGAAUCACUGGGCGUAAAGCGCACGUAGGCGGCUUGCUAAGUCAGGGGUGAAAUCCUGGAGCUCAACUCCAGAACUGCCUUUGAUACUGGCGAGCUUCGAGUCCGGGAGAGGUGAGUGGAACUGCGAGUGUAGAGGUGAAAUUCGUAGAUAUUCGCAAGAACACCAGUGGCGAAGGCGGCUCACUGGCCCGAUACUGACGCUGAGGCACGAAAGCGUGGGGAGCGAACAGG